CUCUCUCUCCCUAUUCUUUUUAUGUCUCGCCAAGCUCUCUCUAUAUUGUUUUAUUUUUAUUUUUCACUAAUAAUAAUAAUAAAGCCCUGUCCCAUAUUAAGUGUUUUAACUCCCGAUCACCGCUACCCUUUCCGAUUGAUCUAAGCCCCAUAACACAUGUCAGGGCUUUGCCCGACUAAGUUCAUUGGGGUUCUGUCUCGGGACUUCAGGACAAGGUUGAAUUAGGGGUACUAUACUUAAUACGAGUGCAUUAUAUAUAUAUAUAUAUAAAGUGGGUCCAUUCUCUUUUCUCACCAUGUUAUUCCUUCUUAUCCCAAACCAUAACAACUCUCACCAAAACUACUAUUUAUUAUUUUAUUUGCCCAAUAGGAAACCCUAAUUGAGACACCCAAGUAAUCCUGCACAACUCCUAAAAUUUUCAGAAUAAUCAGAAUCAGGAUCAGGGCCCCCAAAACUUAGGGGGGGGGGGGUAUUCCCUACUUGACGAUUAUCCACAUAACUCGCUGUAGAAAUCAAAUUUAUAAAUUCCGUAGACUCAUACAAGCUAGUUGGACACGUGGCAAGCCUAUGAUGAAACGUGGCCCGUCGCGUCACGCGACGCCCCUAUGGGACCCCUCGCGUCACGCGAGGGGGUCAAAUUUCAGCUAUAAAUAGAAGGGGUUACGAGCAGCUCAAAAACACAGUAGCGAGGCGCUGCUACGAUACAGGGUAUUAACUCGAUCGCUGCUACAAUUCAAUGUCCGAUCUAUUGAAACUAUCCGACCGGAUGUUUAAGUGCUAUCCUUUGUCAUUAGUCGUGAUUCCAACAGGAUGUUUGAGUACCACCCGAACUCGGGGAAUACUCUGUCAUUCGUUGCGAAUCCGAUGGAUGUUUAAGUGAUUACACUUUGUCAUUUGUCGUGAGGGUUUUAAUCUCGUGAGUUAUCGUAAAUGUUGUAUUAGUUAAUUACCUAGUUUCGUGUGCAUUAUCGCUUAAAUUAGGUUAUCAGGCUUAUCAGUAGACUAAACACUACCCCAUACACUUACAAUCAAAGUAGAUGCUAAUUCUCAGAAGAAUCUGAAUCAUGAAGCUUGUUAAUUCAAUACUGCAUGCUUAUAAUGUAAUUACAGUAGAUUGGAGUAAGAGUUGGAUACGGCACCGAAAAGGCUUACAGAAGUGGCUUGAUUUAUCAAUUAAAUAAAAAUUAAGAAAAGUUGUUUUAUGUAUCAAGUUUAUAUUAAAAAGCUACCCUUGUAAAACAUGGAAUUUAUUCCAUCUAUUUAAAUAAAAUCCGGUGU
rnacentral:lncRNA from 1 species